GGGGAUGCAGCUCAGUGGUAGAGCACUCUGCCAAACAUGUGAGAGGCCCUGGGUUCAAUCCCCAGCAUUGCAA
rnacentral:tRNA from 1 species